ensembl:misc_RNA 7SK 7SK RNA
GGAUGUGAGGGCGAUCUGGCUGCGACAUCUGUCACCCCAUUGAUCGCCAGGGUUGAUUUGGCCGAUCUGGCUGGCUAGGCGGGUGUCCCCUUCCUCCCUCACCGCUCCAUGUGCGUCCCUCCCGAAGCUGCGCACUAGGUUGAAGAGGACGGCCUUCCCCGAAUAGAGACGGACUGGUCUUCAGUUGAGGGUAUAGGAGUAGCUGCACUUCCCUGCUAGAACCUCCAAACAAGCUCUCAAGAUGAGGUUAUAAUGGGACUAGUGAGUCCACCAAUUUAUUAUCAGUGGUUCAAGAUGAAUACAACCUCCAUACUU